rnacentral:rRNA from 1 species
GUACCCUGGUAGUCCACGCUGUAAACGAUGUCGACUUGGAGGUUGUUCCCUUGAGGAGUGGCUUCCGGAGCUAACGCGUUAAGUCGACCGCCUGGGGAGUACGGCCGCAAGGUUAAAACUCAAAUGAAUUGACGGGGGCCCGCACAAGCGGUGGAGCAUGUGGUUUAAUUCGAUGCAACGCGAAGAACCUUACCUACUCUUGACAUCCAGAGAACUUAGCAGAGAUGCUUUGGUGCCUUCGGGAACUGUGAGACAGGUGCUGCAUGGCUGUCGUCAGCUCGUGUUGUGAAAUGUUGGGUUAAGUCCCGCAACGAGCGCAACCCUUAUCCUUUGUUGCCAGCGAUUCGGUCGGGAACUCAAAGGAGACUGCCAGUGAUAAACUGGAGGAAGGUGGGGAUGACGUCAAGUCAUCAUGGCCCUUACGAGUAGGGCUACACACGUGCUACAAUGGCAUAUACAAAGAGAAGCGACCUCGCGAGAGCAAGCGGACCUCAUAAAGUAUGUCGUAGUCCGGAUUGGAGUCUGCAACUCGACUCCAUGAAGUCGGAAUCGCUAGUAAUCGUGGAUCAGAAUGCCACGGUGAAUACGUUCCCGGGCCUUGUACACACCGCCCGUCACACCAUGGGAGUGGGUUGCAAAAGAAGUAGGUAGCUUAAC